rnacentral:rRNA from 1 species
UACGUAGGCAGCGAGCGUUGUUCGGAAUUACUGGGCGUAAAGAGUGUGUAGGCGGUGCUCUAAGUUCGGUGUGAAAUCUCCCGGCUUAACUGGGAGGGUGCGCCGGAAACUGGAGUGCUCGAGCGUGGGAGAGGAAAGCGGAAUUCCUGGUGUAGCGGUGAAAUGCGUAGAUAUCAGGAGGAACACCUGCGGUGUAGACGGCCUUCUGGACCAUUGCUGACGCUGAGACACGAAAGCGUGGGUAGUAAACAGG